AAAUUGAAGAGUUUGAUCAUGGCUCAGAUUGAACGCUGGCGGCAGGCCUAACACAUGCAAGUCGAACGGUAACAGGAAACAGCUUGCUGUUUCGCUGACGAGUGGCGGACGGGUGAGUAAUGUCUGGGAAACUGCCUGAUGGAGGGGGAUAACUACUGGAAACGGUAGCUAAUACCGCAUAACGUCGCAAGACCAAAGAGGGGGACCUUAGGGCCUCUUGCCAUCGGAUGUGCCCAGAUGGGAUUAGCUAGUAGGUGGGGUAAAGGCUCACCUAGGCGACGAUCCCUAGCUGGUCUGAGAGGAUGACCAGCCACACUGGAACUGAGACACGGUCCAGACUCCUACGGGAGGCAGCAGUGGGGAAUAUUGCACAAUGGGCGCAAGCCUGAUGCAGCCAUGCCGCGUGUAUGAAGAAGGCCUUCGGGUUGUAAAGUACUUUCAGCGGGGAGGAAGGGAGUAAAGUUAAUACCUUUGCUCAUUGACGUUACCCGCAGAAGAAGCACCGGCUAACUCCGUGCCAGCAGCCGCGGUAAUACGGAGGGUGCAAGCGUUAAUCGGAAUUACUGGGCGUAAAGCGCACGCAGGCGGUUUGUUAAGUCAGAUGUGAAAUCCCCGGGCUCAACCUGGGAACUGCAUCUGAUACUGGCAAGCUUGAGUCUCGUAGAGGGGGGUAGAAUUCCAGGUGUAGCGGUGAAAUGCGUAGAGAUCUGGAGGAAUACCGGUGGCGAAGGCGGCCCCCUGGACGAAGACUGACGCUCAGGUGCGAAAGCGUGGGGAGCAAACAGGAUUAGAUACCCUGGUAGUCCACGCCGUAAACGAUGUCGACUUGGAGGUUGUGCCCUUGAGGCGUGGCUUCCGGAGCUAACGCGUUAAGUCGACCGCCUGGGGAGUACGGCCGCAAGGUUAAAACUCAAAUGAAUUGACGGGGGCCCGCACAAGCGGUGGAGCAUGUGGUUUAAUUCGAUGCAACGCGAAGAACCUUACCUGGUCUUGACAUCCACGGAAGUUUUCAGAGAUGAGAAUGUGCCUUCGGGAACCGUGAGACAGGUGCUGCAUGGCUGUCGUCAGCUCGUGUUGUGAAAUGUUGGGUUAAGUCCCGCAACGAGCGCAACCCUUAUCCUUUGUUGCCAGCGGUCCGGCCGGGAACUCAAAGGAGACUGCCAGUGAUAAACUGGAGGAAGGUGGGGAUGACGUCAAGUCAUCAUGGCCCUUACGACCAGGGCUACACACGUGCUACAAUGGCGCAUACAAAGAGAAGCGACCUCGCGAGAGCAAGCGGACCUCAUAAAGUGCGUCGUAGUCCGGAUUGGAGUCUGCAACUCGACUCCAUGAAGUCGGAAUCGCUAGUAAUCGUGGAUCAGAAUGCCACGGUGAAUACGUUCCUGGGCCUUGUACACACCGCCCGUCACACCAUGGGAGUGGGUUGCAAAAGAAGUAGGUAGCUUAACCUUCGGGAGGGCGCUUACCACUUUGUGAUUCAUGACUGGGGUGAAGUCGUAACAAGGUAACCGUAGGGGAACCUGCGGUUGGAUCACCUCCUUACCUUAAAGAAGC
rnacentral:rRNA from 1 species